GAUUCCGGGAGAGAUCCAGCGGCAACUCGCCGGGCGCCGAAGGGGCAGAAACUCUCAGGCAAAAGAACCGGAAU
rnacentral:ncRNA from 1 species